rnacentral:lncRNA from 1 species
CCAUGCACAAGGGCUCUCCUUUUGGACAUCCCAACCUGAUCUCAAUCACACCUUUUAACAUCCCACAUGUCCCAUGUAUUUAUAGGCUAAAGGGAGUUAGACUUUGGAUAGGAUUCAAGAGUCCAUGUAGCCUUGGACUCUUCCUAAUUUGUGCCGCCCAUCUCUUUUCUAUAUGACCCAGGUUUACACGGUGAAUAAGGUGAUUUGGUUUCUUUCUUACAUGCUAAAAAGGAAAAAAAAAGGUGGCAUCAAAUCCUGGUUCAAUGUGGAAACAAAAAUCAAGGUGGCAUGAGGUGUUUUGGCGCAUGGAUUGGAGGAGUUUCAAUCUCAUGGGACUCUUGUUUAAUGUGGCUGUUUAAACUCAAUAAAAUAUUAAUUAAUCAUAAUCAUAUUAGAAUCAAAUUAGACUUAAAAAGAUAAAAAAUCAAAUCUAACUUGGAGUCCAAUUUAUUUAAAUUAGAUAUCUCCUAAUUGGAGGAGGAGUCCUAAUCCAAU